rnacentral:misc_RNA from 1 species
ACACUUUAAUGACCCCACCUGAACACUUAAUUGCAGUUCAUGAUACAAACAGUGGGAUUAAAAGCUCCCCUGAGGUAAUUUAUGAAUUUACUAUAAAAGAACAAAAAUAUCGUAAGUAAUUGAGAUAUUUUGACAUAUUAGCAGAAUAAAGAUUUUUAGUGUAACAGCUAAUAAAAAAAUCAAUUGAAAUACCAAAAGUAACAUUAUUUCCUCUAUUACCUGAAGCUAAUUAGUUAUAUCAGGUAGAACAUUCCUAAAAAUGAACUACAGUAUUUCUGAGAACAUUUACCAAACACUGGAAGGGUGUGUGUGUGUGUGUGUGUGCGUGUGUGUGUGUGUGUGUGUGUGUGUGUGUGUGUGUGUGUAUGGUGAGAUGUGUACAGUAGAUCUUCACUUGUUAUCCUUAUAAAGCGGAGGACACACACACACACACACACACACACACACACACGUUCAUAUAUAAAAACACCCAAGCACAAGUUUGCUUUUACAUGGUGAGUGUGUUUGUGUAUGUGUGUGGAAGUGCAUGUGUGUGUGAUUUUUACCGCAGGGGGAAGGAGGAUUAGCACAAAGGCGGUCGUGUAGUGUAUGCGUGAGUGUGUGUAUAUCUGAGUGUGUGCGUGAGUGUGUGUGUGUGUGUGUGUGUGUGUGUGGGAGCAGGCUAACCCUCCCGACUCAACAAGUGGCCUCUCUUACUGUCAGGCGAUCACCACCACCAGCACCACCACCAGCACAACACCUCCGCCACUCCCUCUUGCUCACCACCGCCUGGAGUGAGUCACCACUACGUUCUCGCUGACUCACCCAACCACAUCAACAGCUACCUACCCAACCACGCUCACCACACCUUCACCACACAAGAACUGGACUCUUGAAAAAUAGGAAAAAAAAAACACCUCGAUUGUUCUCUGUUGACCGCCACACACCUUGAAACACUUAAGAAAACAAACACCAGUGCUGUGUGUGUGUGUGUGUGUGUGUGUGUGUGUUUAGUGCCCCGGAAGAUAUAUCAACUGACGGAUCAAAUAACGUCUUUCUUCUUUGUCCAGUGCUUCGUGCGGUCUGAUACCUCCCAGGGUACUUGUCGUGCCCUCCUGGGGGUGUUGAGGUACUCCUGGGGGUGUUGAGAUACUCCUAGGGGUGUUAAGGUACUCCUAGGGGUGUUGAGGUACUCCUAGGGGUGUUGAAGUACCUCUAAAAGACCUCCGAGUACCCGACCCCCCUUCUCUCCCCCCCGAGCUGCCAAGAUGACCUCGGAGAAGGACAUAAACCAGCAAGUGGAGGAGCUGGUCGCCUCCACACCUAACCAACGCAACUGGAGAGGCAUCCUGAUCGCCCUGCUGGUGAUUGGCUGUGUCUGUGGGCUGAUCAUCUUCUCCGUCGUGUUGCUGACGCCGCCUGACGCUGGCCCGAGGUUCACAGGCAACAGGUUCGCAUUAGCUGACAUUAUCAGCGGUGCGUUCAAGCCGCCGGGGUUCAACGGCAAGUGGAUAUCAGGGACGGAGAUCGUGUUUGGUGACGACAGUGGUGGGGUCAGUCUGCUACACGUCCCUACCCUCAUCGUUACGCCCCUCGUCUCAAACUUCACUUUUCGCCGUCUAAACGUUGAAGAGUUCGAUGUUUCCCCCGAUAAGAGAUACAUCUUAUUGAAACAUGACGUCUUACAGGACUAUGACUACAUCUCUUGCCCAGAUGAGUUCCCCACUCGACACUUCCGCCACUUGGCCAAGUACACGGUGCUACAAAUGGACUCGGAACACGUGGUAUCGGUGACGCCCUUCCCGUCCAAGGAGGGUCACCCGGAGCUCCAACACGUGGUAUGGGUGCCUGGGGCCGCCGCUUCUCUCGUCAUGGUCCACGAGAACGACAUCUACGUUAAAGAGUCGCCAACCUCACCUGUCGUCUCACGCCUCACUACUACAGGAGAACGACACAAGGUCUUUAAUGGCGUCACGGAUUAUCUUUACAGAGAGUACGUGUUACACUCGGUAUCGGCAGUGUGGGCUAGCGAGGAGGGUAACAGAUUGUGUUACGCUUCCUUCAACGACUCAGGUGUACGGGAGGCCAAAAUACCUGUGUAUACCGACAAAUAUGCUACCAUUAAUCAAGUCAGGUACCCCAAGGUAGACACAAACAACCCGGUAGCGACGCUGUGGGUGGUAGAGUUGGGUCAGUCGCCGCCCGCACCCAGAGACCUGAAGCCGCCCACGCGAGUUAGAGACCAGUCAGUGGGCGUGUGGGACUACUACUUCACCGGGGUGUCGUGGGUGGACGCGGACACAGUGGCGGUGGUGUGGAGAAACAGAGCUCAGAACGUGAGUGUGGUCACCGCCUGCACCGAACCCAUGUGGUUCUGUGAAGAGCUCUACGUGGAGGAGAGUGGCCCGAGACGAUGGGCGACGGUGGAAAAAGUUCCUCUCUUCGCUAUGAACGGCACCGCCUUCGUCAGCGUGGCGCCCUUGGUAGAUAGCACGUCGGGAACCUAUCCACACAUCCACCAGGGCAGCACCGGCACCGUUCACACCAUCCCCGUUACCUUCGGCACCUACACCGUGUUCUCCGUCGUCGGCUGGGACACUGAGAACCACCACGUGUACUACGUGGCCAACACAGAGACGGAAGUGGCGGAGCGACACCUGUGGAGAGUGACAGAUGUGACCUCACCUACGCCCCGCCAGCAGGAGUGUCUCACCUGCCACCUUAACUACACCACCCCACCUUGUCGUCACUUCACCCCCUACAUGGGUCCUGACAACUUCUACGAGGUGGUCCUUCAGUGUGAGGGUCCAGGUGUUCCUCAUACGAUGUUAUACUCGAUAGUGGACGAGGAGGUGCUGCUUUACAUACACAACAACACGCACCUGCAGCGCCUCAGUCUGGAGAUGGCUUGGCCGCAGCGUAAAGACUACAGAGUCAAGCUGGAUGGUGGCUUCGUUGCCCAGGUACGUCUGAGCAUCCCGCCGGAGUUCACGGAGGAGGAGGCGUUCAUCUACCCGGUGAUGGUACAGGUGGGCGGUGUACCUGGCGAGCAGCGCGUCAACCAUAAGUGGCAUGUUGACUGGACCACUUACCUCGCCUCUAACAAAUCCUGGGUGGCCAUGGAAGUGGAUGUGAGAGGGGCGUCGAGCCAGGAUCUAGGACUCAUGUACAAGCCGGCCUGGAGACUCGGCGAGGUGGAAGUCACAGACCAUGUGGCUGUGGUCAAAUCACUACUGGAGAAGUUGGAGUUCUUGGACGGGUCACGGGUGGCGGCCUUCGGGUGGGGUCACAGCGGGUACAACACCGCCCGACUACUGGCGCAGGACACUGAUAAAGUGUUCGCCUGCGCCGCCGUUGUCAACCCCAUCACUGACUGGUCCCUCUACUCGUCGUACUACACGGAAAAGUACAUGGGGACGGCGCAGGUGGUCCCAGGCGGUAACUACAGAGGGUAUGAAGAGAGCUCCCUCCUCCUGCGGGCGUCGAGCUUCAAGAACAGGACGCUACUGCUGGUACACGGCUCAGCAGACACGGACGUCCACUACGACCACACCCUCAAGUUCUCUCGGGCGCUUACUAAAAAGGGCAUUAUCUUCAGGCAACAGACCUACACAGACGAGGGCCACGACCUGGAGCGGGUCCAGACGCACCUAUAUAAGACGCUCGAGUCAUACUUGGAGGGGUGUUUCCCCGCCUACAACGAGGAGGAGCUGAGCUUACUCUUCGGCCAAGAUGCUCUCCCAUAGUUGCAGCAUCACCGCAGCAGCAUCGAGGAAAACAACAGCAAAAGCAGCAGCAGCAGCAACAGAAACAGCAGCAGCAGCAGCAGAAACAGCAGCAGCAGCAGCAGCACGGGACAGCACCAUCACAAGCUCAGUCAAAGUAUGUGGCAGAGAGCACUUGUUUGGUACCGUCGACUAGCUCUUCAGGUGGUGGGUCCUUUCUAUAGGAUGCCGUCUUGCUGAGAUAUCUGUCUGGGAGGAUCCUGUAGGACUACUCCGGGAGGACAAGGGCAACAACCUAUAGGACUCGUGGAGGACGGGUGAGAGAGCUCCUUAUGUCCUUUACCAACUCCCAUCUAUCAACCCACCCAAGUCCUACUCUAAUAACGGCUACCGAGUGACCCCCCUCGUGAGAUGUCCUUCUUUCUACUGUCAGCCGCUGGGACAUCAUCACCGUGUUGACAGCUGGGUUGCUGACACACUGCUCCUGAGAUGAACUGCUGUGUAUGUGUCAGCUGUGAGUGUGUUUGUUUCUCGUGAUUCUGAGAUGAGAAAAGAAUCGUGUUUGAGAUCCGGGUCGAGAGCUAUGAGGUGAGGUGUUGCAAGAGGUGAGGUGUUGCAAGACGUGAGAGAUGAGGUGAGGUGUUGCAAGACGUGAGAUGUUGCAAGAGGUGACAUGUUGCAAGACGUGAGAGAUGAGGUGAGGUGUUGCAAGACGUGAGGUGUUGCAAGAGGUGAGAUUUUGCAAGACUAGAGAUGUGUUGAUGACCGUCUUGUUCUCUGAGAUGUGUUAUGUUGACAGUCGUUCUAUGAGACUUUUUGAGAUGGUCGUAUUUAGAAGGUGUGUGUAUGUGUGUGUGUCUGUGUAUAUGUGCGGGUUACGUAAACGACCCUGAGAUCCCUGAGAUGUGCUGUGUUAUUCUGAGAAUCUUUUGAGACGUCGUAUUAAAAGAUGCCAAAUGACGGCCCUGAGAUACUGCCUGUCUGUGUGUGUGUGUCUGUGUGUGUGUGUGUCUGUACAGCGGUCAUGGUCGGAGGCGCUAACAAAGAGACUCUCGAGAGAUAGUAUUAAAGAGACUCUCGCUUGAUGGAGGAGGAUCUCUAUCUCUUUAUCUCUCUCUCAAUAAUAAUAAUAACAAGACGUUCGCCAGGCUAAGACCACAAGUUCCAGCCCUGGCAGAGGCGAGGCUCCCCUGACGUCACAAACACUCCAACGGGAAACUGUCUGUCUUGUUGUUGCUUCGUCGUUCGUGGAGGUUAAGGGCGGAGAUACUAGGAUGUGGUGAAGAGUACCGAGAGUACCUUAAGAGUACCGAGAGUACCUUAAGAGUACC